rnacentral:sRNA from 1 species
GCUGGGCGCAGUGGCACACGCCUGUAAUCCCAGCAGCUCAGGAGGCUGAGGCAGGAGGAUGGUGAGUUCAGAGCCAGCCUCAGCAAAAGUGAGGCGCUAAGUGACUCAGUGAGAUCCUGUCUCAC